rnacentral:rRNA from 1 species
GGAAGUAAAAGUCGUAACAAGGUUUCCGUAGGUGAACCUGCGGAAGGAUCAUUAUCGUAUAACAGAGGUGCUAGGGCUGUNGCUAACUUUGUGCACGCCCUGGUGCUCUCACAAUCCAUCUCACCCCUUUGUGCAUCACCGCGUGGGUGCUCUCCUUUUGGUUCACUCUGAAAGGGAAGCAUUUGCGCUUUUACAUAGACCCACCGCAUGUCUAGAAUGUCUUACUAUUUGUGAUAAUAUACAAUCAAUACAACUUUCAACAACGGAUCUCUUGGCUCUCGCAUCGAUGAAGAACGCAGCGAAAUGCGAUACGUAAUGUGAAUUGCAGAAUUCAGUGAAUCAUCGAAUCUUUGAACGCACCUUGCGCCCCUUGGAAUUCCGAGGGGCACACCCGUUUGAGUGUCGUGAAAUAUCCUUCAACCUUUCUUGGUUACUCAACCAAGGAAGGCUUGGACUUUGGGGGUUUUUCAUUGCUGGCCUCACUUGAAGCCAGCUCCUCCUAAAUGGAUUAGUGGGGUCUACUUUGUGAACCCUUGACGUGAUAAGAUGUUUCUACGUCUUGGGUUUCACACUGUUGGCUUUGGACUCUGCUUCUAACUGUCUUGCAUUCAAGACAUUUAUGAACCUUGACCUCAAAUCGGG